GCUGGGAUGGCUCAGUUGGUAGAGCAUGAGACUUUUAAUCUUAGGGUCAUGGGUUCAAACCCCAUGUUGGACA